rnacentral:tRNA from 1 species
UGUUCUAUGGCUGAACUGGUAAAGGCAUUGCCUAUCACAGGCAAAGGUUGCGGGUUCGAGUCCCGUUGGAACGG